AUGAUGAACCCGGAGAUGAUGCGGGUGGCGGAGGAGCAGAUGCGACGCAUACCCGCCGUCGACCUCGCCAGGAUGCAGCGGCAGCUCAUGUCCAACCCGGACCUGCUAAAGCUCACAACCGAGAGCAUGAAGAACAUGACGGCCGAGGACUUCAAGCUCGCCGCCGAGUGCCUGAACCACGCAAGGCCAGAGGAGAUGCUCGACAUGACCGAGAAAAUCGCCAAGGCCAAGCCCGAGGAGCUCGCCGCCAUGAAGGCGCAAGCCGACGCUGAGACGUCGCGCGCGAUAUCCGCCGCCAAGAUGCUGAAGCGGCAGGGGAACCAGCUCCAUGGCCGCGGGCAGUACGCUGACGCCGCCGCCAAGUACAAGCUCGCCAGGGACAGCGUGAAGAACGGCGUGCCAUCGGCGGCUGGGCGCGCUCUGCAGCUGCAGUGCAGCGUUAAUCUGAUGGCUUGUUACCUGAAAUUAGGCGAGUUUGAGGAGUGCGUCAAUGAAGGUUCAGAGGUUUUAAGCUAUGAAUCGGGCGAUGCCAAAGCAUACUACCGAAGAGGGCAAGCGUACAAACAGCUAGGAAACCUUCAUGCUGCUGUUGCUGACUUGAGUAAAGCCCGUGAGAUUUCUCCGGACGAUGAAACUGUCGCUCAAGCUCUGGCAGAGGCACAAGAAAAAUGUGCGACCGAAGGGGGGACAAAAAACCUGCCAAAGGGAGUUGUCAUUGAAGAAAUUGUAGAAGAUAUUAGUUAUGAUCUGGCAAGCCCUGAAAACAGUUCUUCUACUACUACUGAGCAUACUGCUUCACAACCACACGACGGAGCACGAAACUCGACACAAUCUGACUCUUCAGAAAGCUUGGUAAAUAUGUCUCAGGUUGCUUCUUCAUCAAGUGGAACAAUCCCUGUUAGCCCUGCUAUGUGGGAGAUGUUUGCAUCCAUGGUGGAGAACAUGAGCCCUGAUGAAAUGGCAAACAUGAGCGGGCUGCUCGGUAUCGAGAUGUCCAAGGAGGAUGCUGCCAACGCUCAACAUGCUAUGUCUUCAUUCUCUUCACAAGAUUUAGAGAAAAUGAUGAAGUGGAUCGGCAGAGCACAGCGAGGAGUCGCAGCGGCAAAGAAGACGAAGGACUGGCUCCUAGGCAGGAAAGGCUUCAUCUUUGCUAUUGUCAUGCUGAUCUUGGCGUUCAUCCUCCAUCGGCUUGGAUUCAUCGGGUAG
rnacentral:rRNA from 1 species